rnacentral:tRNA from 1 species
UGCCCUGUAGCUCAAUGGCAGAGCAUCCGGCUGUUAACCGGAGGGUUGUAGGUUCGAAUCCUACCAGGGCAG